GAGGGUAUAGCUCAGUGGUGGAGCACAUGCUUAGCAUGCAUGAAGUCCUGGGUUCAAUCCCCAAUACCUCCG
rnacentral:tRNA from 1 species